UAUCAGUCUUAUAUGGUGGUACAGUACACCAAGGUAUCAGUCUAAUAUGGUGGUACAGUACACCCAGGUAUCAGUCUAAUAUGGUGGUACAGUACACCCAGGUAUCAGUCUAAUAUGGUGGUACAGUACACCAAGGUAUCAGUCUAAUAUGGCGGUACAGUACACCCAGGUAUCAGUCUAAUAUGGUGGUACAGUACACCCAGGUAUCAGUCUAAUAUAGUGGUACAGUACACCCAGGUAUCAGUCUAAUAUGGUGGUAC